rnacentral:rRNA from 1 species
CUCAGGUGAGGAAUAAUCCCGGGAAACUGGGGCUAUUACUUCAUAGAAGACGGGUGCUGAAAUGUUCUGUCUCUAAAAGGCCCGCCGCCUGAGGAUGAUUCUGCGUCCAAUUAGGUAGUUGUUGGGGUAACGGCCCAACAAGCCUUUGAUCGGUACGGUUUGUGGGAGCAAGAGCCCGAAAAUGGAUUCUAAGACAUGAAUCCCGCCCUUACGGGGCGCAGCAGGCGCAAAAAUUUUACAAUGCGAGCAAUCGUGAUAAGGAAACCCUGAGUGCCUGUCAAUGCAGGCUGUUCUGGUGUCUAACACACACCAAAAAAAAGGGGGGGGCAAGACCGGUGCCAGCCGCCGCGGUAAUACCGGCUGCUCGAGUGAUAGCCAUUUUUACUGGGCUUAAAGCGUUCGUAGCUUGGUCGUUAAUUCUCUGGGAAAUUUUUUUGGCUCAACCAAAAGGCGUCUCAGGAAAACUGGCGACCUAGGAACCGGAAAAGGUAAGACGUACUUCGGGGGUAGGAGUGAAAUCUUGUAAUCCCGGAGGGACGACCGAUGGCGAAGGCUUCUUACCAGAACGGCUUCAACAGUGAGGAACAAAAGCUGGGGGAGCAAACCGGAUUAAAUACCCGGUUAGUCCUAGGUGUAAACGCUGUGAACUUGUUGUCGGGAAUCCGUAAGGGGUCCCCGGUGCCGGAUUGAAGAUGUUAAGUUCACUGCCUGGGGAGUACGGUCGCAAGGCUGAAACUCAAAGGAAUUGACGG